GAUGAACGCUGGCGGCGUGCCUAAUACAUGCAAGUCGAGCGAACGGACGAGAAGCUUGCUUCUCUGAUGUUAGCGGCGGACGGGUGAGUAACACGUGGAUAACCUACCUAUAAGACUGGGAUAACUUCGGGAAACCGGAGCUAAUACCGGAUAAUAUUUUGAACCGAAUGGUUAAAAAGUGAAAGACGGUCUUGCUGUAACUUAUAGAUGGAUCCGCGCUGCAUUAGCUAGUUGGUAAGGUAACGGCUUACCAAGGCAACGAUGCAUAGCCGACCUGAGAGGGUUAUCAGCCACUCUGGAACUGAGACACGGUCCUGACUCCUACGGGAUGCAGCAGUAUCGAAUCUUCCGCAAUGGGCGAAAGCCUUACGGAGCAACGCCGCGUGAGUGAUGAAGGUCUUCGGAUCGUAAAACUCUGUUAUUAGGGAAGAACAUAUGUGUAAGUAACUGUGCACAUCUUGACGGUACCUAAUCAGAAAGCCCCGGCUAACUACGUG
rnacentral:rRNA from 1 species